GAUGAAGAACGCAGUGAAAUGCGAUAAGUAAUGCGAAUUGCAGAAUUCCAGUGAGUCAUCGAAUCUUUGAACGCACAUUGCGCCCUUUGGUAUUCCGAAGGGCAUGCCUGUUCGAGCGUCAUUAUCACCCCUCAAGCCCCCGGCUUGGUGUUGGACGGUUUGGUGGAGGCCCCCUCGGGGGCUCCUGCCCCUCCCAAAGACAAUGACGGCGGCCUCGUUGGACCCCCGGUACACUGAGUUCUUCACGGGACACGUAUCGGACACAUGGGUUUACGGGACACGGUCUGCCUCCCCUCAGGGAGAAUCUUUCUAAGGUUGACCUCGGAUCAGGUAGGGAUACCCGCUGAACUUAAGCAUAUCAAUAAGCGGAGGA
rnacentral:misc_RNA from 1 species